CGCAAUACUUUCUUGGCAGACGACCAGAGUGUCAAUUAUGAUUUGGCUUAAAUGUGUCUUGCGCUGUUAGAUUCUUGCAGGGAAAACUGAUUUUCUACAUUUUUUUUCAAAUGACGGUGGAUAUUUGCCGUGCAUGUUGAAGAUUGAAAUUUGUGGUUUGGCGGAGAAAUAUUAAAUAAAAAGAUUCCAGAUUCCUAUAAGCCAACGGCAAAGAUCCGCCAUUUUGCUAUGAUUCUGUGAUAAUAUUGAGUAAAACACACAAAAAGACGUCUUCCUGGGAGAUCUGAUCUUUAGUAUUCCAAAUCAUUAUCUAUACCAGACGAUAACGAAAAGAAGAUGCGGUUUUACUUGGUGGCAAUAUUGUCCAUGGGACUGGUUCUGCUUCUUACUUUAGGUAAAGUAUCAACUGCAGAUGCUGAGCCAAGUACCAGUCCAGAACCGGAAGUGGAAGAAAAAGGGGACGCCAAAGAAGAUGCCGGAAGUGAAAAUAAGCCGGAACCAAGUGAAGAACCAAAAGCAACUACUAAAUCACCGGAAAAUGGAGGUGGUUUGAUUGUUAUGUCAACAUUGUCGCUUUUUUCAACACUAGUAGUAGCCAGAUUACUGGUGUGAUUAUUUAUACUAAGAGGACUGCAAGUGUACAUGUCACAUGCUAUCGUCUGCGUUGCAAUGGAUUCUUAUCAUGUUGAAAAAUCACGAAAAGUCGUGCUCAUAUUUAAACUGUCUCGAAUGACGCUUUAAGCAGAUAGCGAGACGUGGCUUUUUUGAUUUUAUAAUGUGAUCACGGAAAGAUUGUACAAAUUGUACAAGACAAACAUUUUGCAGGAGAACUGAUUUGUUUCUAUUACGCAGAUGAUGCAGAUGAAGAUUUUUUUGUUGUUUUACGUUCUGAAUAAUUUUGUUGUUGAAUUAAUAUUGUCUCAUUUAUUCGUAUAGAUAUUUCUCAGUGUAAAAAAGUAAAAAAAGAAA